UACAGAGGGUGCAAGCGUUAAUCGGAAUUACUGGGCGUAAAGCGUGCGUAGACGGUUACAUAAGUCGGGUGUGAAAGCCCCGGGCUCAACCUGGGAAUUGCAUUCGAGACUGAAUAGCUAGGGUACGGUAGAGGGAAGCGGAAUUUCCGGUGUAGCGGUGAAAUGCGUAGAUAUCGGAAGGAACAUCAGUGGCGAAAGCGGCUUCCUGGACCAGUACCGACGUCAGGCACGAAAGCGUGGGGAGCAAACAGG
rnacentral:rRNA from 1 species